GACGGAGGAUGCAAGCGUUAUCCGGAAUUAUUGGGCGUAAAGCGUCCGCAGGUGGACAUACAAGUCUGCUGUCAAAGUGCAGAGCUUAACUCUGUAAAGGCGGUGGAAACUGUAGGUCUUGAGUAUGGUAGGGGUAGAGGGAAUUCCCGGUGUAGCGGUGAAAUGCGUAGAUAUUAGGAAGAACACCAGUGGCGAAGGCGGCUCACUGGUCCGGUACUGACGCUGAGGUGCGAAAGCGUGGGGAGCAAACAGG
rnacentral:rRNA from 1 species